rnacentral:rRNA from 1 species
CCUGCCCAAGAGAUCGGGAUAACACCUGGAAACAGAUGCUAAUACCGGAUAACAACAGAUGAUGCCUAUCAAACUGUUUAAAAGNUGGUUCUGCUAUCACUCUUGGAUGGACCUGCGGUGCAUUAGCUAGUUGGUAGGGUAACGGCCUACCAAGGCGAUGAUGCAUAGCCGAGUUGAGAGACUGAUCGGCCACAUUGGGACUGAGACACGGCCCAAACUCCUACGGGAGGCAGCAGCG